CACGUAGGGGGCAAGCGUUGUCCGGAUUUAUUGGGCGUAAAGAGCUCGUAGGCGGUUCGCUAAGUCGGGUGUGAAACCUCCAGGCUCAACCUGGAGACGCCACCUGAUACUGGUGUGACUCGAGUCCGGUAGGGGAGCGUGGAAUUCCUGGUGUAGCGGUGAAAUGCGCAGAUAUCAGGAGGAACACCAGCGGCGAAGGCGGCGCUCUGGGCCGGAACUGACGCUGAGGAGCGACGGCGUGGGGAGCAAACCGG
rnacentral:rRNA from 1 species